rnacentral:rRNA from 1 species
UGCGUAGGUGGCAGAACAAGUCUGGAGUAAAAGGUAUGGGCUCAACCCGUACUGGCUCUGGAAACUGUUCGGCUAGAGAACAGAAGAGGACGGCGGAACUCCAUGUGUAGCGGUAAAAUGCGUAGAUAUAUGGAAGAACACCGGUGGCGAAGGCGGCCGUCUGGUCUGUUGCUGACACUGAAGCACGAAAGCGUGGGGAGCAAAU